UCUAACUCUUUUGUAGAUAGGGCAUGAUCCCUAUUGAUCUAUCAAAGUUCACAUCUAGGGUUUAAGAUCCUAAUGGCUAAGAGCACAACCAAGGAUUGAUCCACAAUGUCUCAAAGCAUUAUAUAUGAGUCCCAAUUAUAUUUACAUGUUAUUUUGAUCAGGCAUUCUUCAAGAGUUUGGAAUUUGUGUGCCUUGGAAACCCUAGUUUAUCUAGGUAUCUUGAGUAACUUCUUC
rnacentral:lncRNA from 1 species